GAUCAUGGCUCAGGAUGAACGCUAGCUACAGGCUUAACACAUGCAAGUCGAGGGGCAGCAUGGUCUUAGUCUUGCUAAGGCUGAUGGCGACCGGCGCACGGGUGAGUAACACGUAUCCGAACCUGCCGUCUACUCUUGGCCAGCCUUACUGAAAGGAAGAUUAAUCCAGGAUGGGAUCAUGAGUUCACAUGUCCGACAUGAUUAAAGGUAUUUUCCGGUAGACGAUGGGGA
rnacentral:rRNA from 1 species